rnacentral:rRNA from 1 species
UGCAAGUCGAACGGUAAGGCCCUUCSRGGUACACGAGUGGCGAACGGGUGAGUAACACGUGGGUGAUCUGCCCUGCACUUCGGGAUAAGCCCGGGAAACUGGGUCUAAUACCGGAUAGGACUGCGCGGUGCAUGCCGUGUGGUGGAAAGAUUUAUCGGUGCAGGAUGGGCCCGCGGCCUAUCAGCUUGUUGGUGGGGUAAUGGCCUACCAAGGCGACGACGGGUAGCCGGCCUGAGAGGGCGACCGGCCACACUGGGACUGAGACACGGCCCAGACUCCUACGGGAGGCAGCAGUGGGGAAUAUUGCACAAUGGGCGCAAGCCUGAUGCAGCGACGCCGCGUGAGGGAUGACGGCCUUCGGGUUGUAAACCUCUUUCAGCAGGGACGAAGCGCAAGUGACGGUACCUGCAGAAGAAGCACCGGCCAACUACGUGCCAGCAGCCGCGGUAAUACGUAGGGUGCAAGCGUUGUCCGGAAUUACUGGGCGUAAAGAGCUCGUAGGCGGUUUGUCGCGUCGUCUGUGAAAACCAGCAGCUCAACUGUUGGCUUGCAGGCGAUACGGGCAGACUUGAGUAUUUCAGGGGAGACUGGAAUUCCUGGUGUAGCGGUGAAAUGCGCAGAUAUCAGGAGGAACACCGGUGGCGAAGGCGGGUCUCUGGGAAAUAACUNACGCUNAGRMGCGAA